UACGUAGGUGGCAAGCGUUACUCGGAUUUACUAGGCGUAAAGCGCAGGUAGGCGGUUCGGUAAGUCUCUUGUGAAAGCUCCCGGCUUAACUGGGAGAGGCCAAGGGAAACUACCGAACUCGAGUGUGGUAGAGGAAGCUGGAAUUCCCGGUGUAGCGGUGAAAUGCGUAGAGAUCGGGAGGAAUACCUAUGGCGAAAGCAAGCUUCUGGGCCAUUACUGACGCUGAGCUGCGAAAGCUAGGGGAGCAAACAGG
rnacentral:rRNA from 1 species